AGUUGCCGAAGAGUGAUAAUAGUCAUUUCAAGGUCAUUUCUUCAAAGCAGAUUUUUCGGAUUCCAAGAACGAUUUUCACAAGCAUUAACGACAGACGACAGGCGUGAACGAUGGAUUGCAGUUUGCCGAGAAAGAUGUGCCGACGUCCCUGAUACACUUAAUGAUUGUAAUACUCUCGACUUUAACGACAUGAAUGACAUCCACUGGGUCCUCUUAACGUCAUCCAUCAAUGCACCGAUCACACGAACAACGCAUAUAAGAAGUUUCUCUCGCAGGGGAGUUCUAACUUUUCCGUAUCCAGCCGGACCAAAUGAAAACACAGCUCCAAAAGAGGUAACGCCUUCCCAAAAUGUUCAGCCUCUUGCAGAAAACACAGCUACAAAAGAGGUAAUGCCUCCCCAAAAUGUUCAGCCUCAUGCAGAAAGCACAGCCCAAAAAGAGGUAACGCCUCCCCAAAUUGUUCAGUCUCAUGCAGAAAACACUGUUCCAAAAGAGUUAACGCCUCCCCAAAAUCUUCUGCCUCAUGCAGAAAACACAGCUCCAAAAGAGGUAACGCCUCCCCAAAAUGUUCAGCCUCAUGCAGAAAACACAGCUCCAAAAGAGGUAACGCCUCCCCAAAAUGUUAAGCCUCAUGCAGAAAAUACCGGGACGCAACGUCAAGUCGAAGGAAAUGAAAACACAGCACCCAGAUAUGUAACGCCUUCUCAAAAUGUUCAGCCUUCUGCAGUCCAUAUUAGUUCACGCGCUUCAAUUCCACAAGAACAUUCGACGUAUCAAUGGCCAGCCGACGCAAAUGAAAACACCGAGGUACCGACUUCUCGAAAUGUUCAGCCUCCUGCCGAUCCUAAUGGAUCCGUUUCCAACUCCUCUACAUAAUCCCAAGAUUCAAUGGCCAGCCGGCGCAAAUGAAAACACAGCUCCCACAGAGAUAACGCCUUCUCAAAAUUAUUAGACUCCAGCAGAUCAGAAAUGAUCACCGGCUUCAAUUUCCGCAGAACAUGCAGGGACUCACUUGCAAUCCGGCAAAAAUGAAAUACACAGCUCCAAAAGAGGUAACGGAGAUGAAAACACAGCUCCCAAAAGAAGUAAUGCCUUCUCGAAAUGUUCAGCUUUCUGCAGACCCUAUUAUAUCACGCGCUUCAAUUCCACAAGAACAUCGUUCGUAUCAAUGGUAAGCCGACGUAAAUAAAAACCGCGAGGCACCGACUGUGUUUUCAUCUUUAACAAUCCUUGCAAUCCGGAAAAAUGAAAUACACAGCUCUAAAAGAGGUAACGCAUUCUCGGCCAAAGACCGUAAUAUAUUAUCCGCUCCUAUUUCACCAGCAAAUACCGAAUUGAUCGGUUUUUAAUUCACUUGAAAAUCCGAAGACUGAAUGGCCAGUCGGCACAAGAAAAAACACAACACUAAAAAGAUAAAGCCUUCUCGAAAUGUUAUGCCUCGUAAUGGAUAAGCCGCUCCUAUAUCACAAGAAAAUACCAAAAGACCAAGCGACCUACAGAAGCAAACAAACAAACACCCAAAGAGGAUGAAAGAAAUUAAAAUGUUCAGCCUCUUCCUAAAUUGAUCACCACCUAAAAUUCAGCCACAAAAUACCAGGACUUACAUACAACAAAAUCAGGAGAACGAAGACAACAAAUUAAAAGGCGUAUCACUUACUCAAACGAUUCUGGUGCAGAAAUGAGAAACUUUACUUAAACAGAUUAUGGUACAACAUGCAAAACCGCAUUUAUAUAAUGCGCAUCUAAAAUACCACACAACAGUUGGAAUGUUAAAAGAAGAAUGCUGCUGGCGAUACGUAUCUUUUUUAGAGAGUCUUACAUGAGGCUGUAGCAAAAUAAUAAAUUACUAGUAAUACAAUUCGACAAAUAGAUCGAAGCAUAAAAAUGCAUAGACAGACUACAAUUUUUAAUGAAUUAUCUUAAAAAACUAUUCCAAAUUGUUUUAUUUUUGUAUUUGAUAAAGCAAUUAUCUCCUCAAUUUUCAGCCUAUUCAUUAAAAUGACUAAUAUUGGGAUUACUGGUUUGGUACUUAUUUCUAAAAUUAUAAACAGAAUCAAUUAAUAUGAUAAAAUUAACAAUAUGUGACAUGUGUGAAUGACCUUCUGAAACGUUACAGACGCUUAUAUAUUCAUAGUCAAAAUUUUGAUAAACGGCAAAUUCGCUGUUCGUUCGAUUAACACAUUAACACCGUUUAUACAAGAGCGUACUUAGCUUCGUAUCAUGUGUCACUCUAAGAAAUUGAAUAAACAAUCGUUUAUAUUUCUUUAUUUAAAAAAUAGUUCCCAUUUUGCAAUUGCCUUAAUUGGAUUUAUUUGCUUUGUCAGUGCGAGUUUUACUAAUUUGCAGAUUUUAGUUGACUCUGAAAUUUAUUAAAGUGAAUAUUCUGACGGUUGACAACGUUUGCUUUCAGAUUUCAGCUUUAAUUUCCAUUCUAGAUUUAAGUAUUUCAGGAAAUCUCUGGUAUUUAAUCUUUGCAAGUUUUGUAAUUGCUCAAAACUAUAAAAUUGCCUUGUUCCAUAGUCGUAUAUUUGUGCUACAUGUUUGACUCUUUUAAAAUGCCAUACUUUGUAGAAAAAUAAACCGUGUGAAUGUUUUGUAAAUGAAUUAUUCCAAAUUAUUUCUUUUCCGAUUUGUGUGAUGUUUUUUGUGCGUUAACCUAUUUCCAGACCUUUAAUAUGUCCGUAAGAAAAAAUUGAUCGUUUGUUUAACGUGUUUAUAUUGUAUUUAUAUCGUCAGAUUUGAUGUCUAUAUCAAUCAUUUUUAAACCGCCAUUUUUAUAUUCUUGUAAAAUUUGAUCACGUUUUAUCCUGUCGGGAUCGUCAUUCCAUUAAAA